rnacentral:rRNA from 1 species
UAUACUUCGAUGGGGUGACGGAGAAACGUAAGGACUGCGAACUGACGGAGUAGUUCGUUGAAGUGUUUAGGCUGUGAGAGUGUAGGUGAAUCCGCAUUUGAGCUGAUGCACGAUAGUACAGGGGUCUGCAUGCAGGCGCCUGAUAUUGUCCCCAAGUAUGCUUCCAAAAAAAACCUCUAAGCUCUAGGUAUAUACAGCCCGUACCGUAAACCGACACAGGUAGUCGAGGAGAGUAUCCUAAGGCGCUCGAGUGAAUCAUGGCUAAGGAAUUAGGCAAAAUGGCCUCGUAACUUCGGGAGAAGAGGCGCUCCGUGUAAAAAUGGAGCCGCAGUAAAAAGGCCCAGGCGACUGUUUAGCAAAAACACAGGACUCUGCGAAAUCGUAAGAUGAAGUAUAGGGUCUGACACCUGCCCGGUGCUGGAAGGUUAAGGAAGGGGCUUAGUGCGCAAGUGCGAAGGUCUUGACUGAAGCCCCAGUAAACGGCGGCCGUAACUAUAACGGUCCUAAGGUAGCGAAAUUCCUUGUCGGGUAAGUUCCGACCUGCACGAAUGGUGUAACGAUCUGGGCACUGUCUCAGCCAUGAGCUCGGUGAAAUUGAAGUAUCGGUGAAGAUGCCGGUUACCCGCAGUGGGACGAAAAGACCCCGUGCACCUUUACUAUAGCUUCACAUUGAGCUUGAGUAUAAGAUGUGUAGGAUAGGUGGGAGACUAUGAAGUGGUCACACUAGUGGCUGUGGAGUCGCCGUUGAAAUACCACCCUUCUUAUACUUAGGUUCUAACCCCACUGAAGGUGGGGGACAUUGUGUGGUGGGUAGUUUGACUGGGGUGGUCGCCUCCAAAAGAGUAACGGAGGCUUGCAAAGGUUCCCUCAGCAUGGUCGGUAAUCAUGCGUAGAGCGUAUUAGUAUAAGGGAGCUUGACUGGGAGACCGACGGGUCGAUCAGGGACGAAAGUCGGCUAAAGUGAUCCGGUGGUUCCGUAUGGAAGGGCCAUCGCUCAAAGGAUAAAAGGUACGCCGGGGAUAACAGGCUUAUCUCCCCCAAGAGCUCACAUCGGGGAGGUUUGGCACCUCGAUGUCGGCUCGUCACAUCCUGGGGCUGGAGAAGGUCCCAAGGGUUGGGCUGUUCGCCCAUUAAAGUGGCACGCGAGCUGGGUUCAGAACGUCGCAAGACAGUUCGGUCUCUAUCUACUGUGGGCGUAGGAAUAUUGAGAAGAUCUGACACUAGUACGAGAGGACCGUGUUGGACAAACCUCUAGUGUACCAGUUAUGCCGCCAGGUGUACCGCUGGGUAGCUAAGUUUGGAACGGAUAAGCGCUGAAAGCAUCUAAGCGCGAAGCCAACUUCAAGAUGAGUAUUCCAUUGUCUUCGGACUAAGAGGGUUGUUGCAGAUGACGACGUUGAUAGGCUACAGGUGGAAGUGCAGUGAUGUAUGGAGCCGAGUAGUACUAAUUACCCGA